GGAGGAGUAAUCAAGCCCGGCCAAAGAUGCAGGACUUAAGAUCCUGUCGCUCAGGCGUUCGUGGGUUCAAAUCCCACCUCCUCCACCA
rnacentral:tRNA from 1 species